rnacentral:lncRNA from 1 species
GCAAUUCGAGUAUUUAGGGACGUCCUGUACUCUCCAAGGUAUUCUUCCUGAGAGUCUACAUGUUUCUUCUGGUGCUCAAAUUUCUAAAUACUUCAGUGUGAUGGGACAGGGCCCCACUCUCAUGUUGUUGACUAGUUCUAUCCAAACCACUCUGACCUUACCAUCACAGACUGUGCACAAAGAUGUUGAAUUGCUCUUAAAUGAAUUUGAG